rnacentral:snRNA from 1 species
GGGUUCCCUCUUGAAGUCCUUACAAUAAAACUGGAUAGAGAGAGAAGAUGGAUAUACCCUCUGCUCAAGAAUGACACAUAAAUUCACCAAAAAUGUAAUUAUUUC